ensembl:lncRNA SLC26A4-AS1 SLC26A4 antisense RNA 1
UUUAAACAAGCUCCCAAGAAGGCAACAGGGACCCACUGUACCCCAAGAGGCACUCCAAGUUUCCUUCAGAGAGGAAAAAGAGAGACGGGGCUCCUAGAACCCACUCUCCCCAAAGGCGAGUUUCCCAGGCGCCGCUCGUGCUGUUGCUGGAAAGCGAGCUCGCUGUAGACCGGCCGCGACACCAUGUAGCUGCAGCUGUACUCGGGGAGCUGCGGCGGCUCCGACCUGCCGCCUGGCGCUGCCAUGACCUGCGAGCCAGAGGACAGCGAGGAGGGAGGACACGCGGUAAGCGAGGACGAUCGGAGGGGAAGAGCGAGGAACAGAAAGAACGGGAUCACCUGUUAGCUGCAGCCAGGCCCCCCUGCACCGCGAGUCUGGUCCGCGUCCUGCAGCCCUCGGCGCUCGCGACAAGCGCCCCACGGCGCGCACGGCCAGCCUGCAGGGGGGCACCUGAGAACCUUCGGGUCUCGUGGCCUGCACCCGCUGCCCGGGGUUCCCCAAACUUGAAGCGAGUAAGCCCCUGCUCUGGGGGCUUCCCGAGUUCCACCCAGUCCCCUAUGGCCCGCAGCCAGGGCGCUGUCCGCGU